UUAAAGAGUUCUAUAACUCCCAAACCCAUGUGAACAUACCUAACGUUGCCUCGGCAGGUCGCACCUACCUUGUAGCACCCUACCCUGUAGGGCCUACCCGGGAGGUGCGGGUAAGCCUGCCGGCGGCCCACCAAACUCUGUUUGAUAUUGAAUUCUGAACCUAUAACUAAAUAAGUUAAAACUUUCAACAACGGAUCUCUUGGUUCUGGCAUCGAUGAAGAACGCAGCGAAAUGCGAUAAGUAAUGUGAAUUGCAGAAUUCAGUGAAUCAUCGAAUCUUUGAACGCAUAUUGCGCCCAUUAGUAUUCUAGUGGGCAGGACCGUUCGAGCGUCAUUUCAACCCUUAAGCCUUCGUUGCUUAGUGUUGGGAGCCUACGGCAACGUAGCUCCUCAAAGUUAGUGGCGGAGUUGGUUCACACUCUAGACGUAGUAAUUUUUUAUCUCGCCUAUUAGUUGGACUAAUCCCCUGCCGUAAAACCCCCAAUUUAUCAAGGUUGACCUCGAAUCGGUUCAGACAAACUCGCUAAAUUGAAGCAUCUUAGUCAGCGAAGGAAAAGAAACCAACAGGGAUUGCCCUAGUAACGGCGAGUGAAGCGGCAACAGCUCAAAUUUGAAAUCUGGCCCUCGGGUCCGAGUUGUAAUUUGUAGAGGAUGCUUU
rnacentral:rRNA from 1 species